AUGGAGGUAGGCCCAGCCCAGGCUUGUGCGGUUAAGGUUGUUGUACACGAGAGCAAGAGCAGAGCAGGGAAGGAGCUGUGGCUUAUGCGUGGGAUUCGGUGUCGCCACCGGAUCGGCGCCAAAGCAUACGUGUUGUCUACCCGGGUCGGAGCGGGAAUUAUCACUUUGUUUCCACGGGUCCAGUCCUUUCGGGUCCAAGUAUCUCUCAAUUUCUGCCUUUGGUUAGCGGGAAGGGCUCACCUGCCUUGAUCAUGCUUGGCUGACCUCUACUGAUGUAUCUGUCAUUAAUGGAAGCACGAGGGAACGGGUUUCAUCGGCAGGCUUUUUUGGCUCUCCUCCCUACAGAGUUGCUUCUGUUCGAAGAGAAGAGCGAUGCUGGCAGCGGGGCACUCGAAUAUGCCCUUUUUAUACCAGCACCAAGUGUCCGCCCCCUGGUCCCGAUCACGUUCACAACCAAAGACUCCCUUCUAUGGUCUCAGGAGCUAGUUUG